GGCCGGGCCCGAUGGAAGCGAAGACUGCCAACCCCGCCAGGACCGGAAGGUAGCAACGGUACGCAAGAUCUCUCCUUGUUAUCGGAUAAGCCUGGCCCUC
rfam:Candidatus Edwardsbacteria bacterium GWF2_54_11 gwf2_scaffold_1930, whole genome shotgun sequence.